rnacentral:rRNA from 1 species
GACGAACGCUGGCGGCGUGCUUAACACAUGCAAGUCGAGCGGUAAGGCUCCUUCGGGAGUACACGAGAGGCGAACGGGUGAGUAACACGUGCGUAAUCUGCCCCGCACUUCGGGAUAAGCGCCGGAAACGGCGUCUAAUACCGACUACGACCAGCCUUCGCAUGAGGUGCUGGUGGAAAGUCUUAUCCGUUCGGGAUGUGCUCGCGGCCUAUCAGCUUGGUGGUGAGGUAACGGCUCACCAAGGCUGCGACGGGUAGACGGCCUGAGGGGGUGGCCGGCCACACUGGGACUGGGACACGGCCCAGACUCCGACGGGAGGCUGCAGUGGGGAAGAUUGGACAAUGGGCGAAAGCCUGAUCCAGCAACGCCGCGUGAGGGAUGACGGCCUUCGGGUUGUAAACCUCUUUCAGUAUCGACGAAGCGCCUUUAACGGUGGUGACGGUAGAUACAGAAGAAGGACCGGCCAACUACGUGCCAGCCGCCGCAGUAA